rnacentral:piRNA from 1 species
UAAAAAUUUGACCGGCAGAGU